rnacentral:rRNA from 1 species
UACAGAGGGGGCAAGCGUUGUUCGGAAUUACUGGGCGUAAAGGGCUCGUAGGCGGCUUGCUAAGUCAGACGUGAAAGCCCUCGGCUCAACCGGGGAACGGCGUCUGAGACUGGCAAGCUGGAAUCCGGGAGAGGGAUGCGGAAUUCCAGGUGUAGCGGUGAAAUGCGUAGAUAUCUGGAGGAACACCGGUGGCGAAGGCGGCAUCCUGGACCGGCAUUGACGCUGAGGAGCGAAAGCCAGGGGAGCAAACGGG